rnacentral:rRNA from 1 species
CUGCUCAAUGAUUAAUUAAAUAGCCGCAGUAUUCUAACUGUGCUAAGGUAGCAUAAUCAUUUGUUUUUUUAUUGGAAACUUGUAUGAAUGAUUUAAUGAAAUAUUAACUGUCUCAUAAUAAAUAAAAAUUGAAUUUUUUAUUUUAGUCAAAAAACUAAAAUUAUAUUAAAAGACAAGAAGACCCUUUAGAAUUUUAUUAUUUAAUAUAUCAAAUUAACAAUUUAAUAUAAUUAAUAUAAUUAAAUUUUUUUAUUGGGGAAAUAAAAAAAUUUAAUUAAUUUUUUUCUUUUUUAACAUAAAUUUAUGAAUAAUAAAAUAUCAUUAUUAAUAACAAAAAAAUUCCCUAAGGGAUAACAGCGUUAUUUUCUUAAAUAGAUCACAUAGAUAAGAAAGAUUGCGACCUCGAUGUUGAAUUAAGAUUAAUAUUUAAGGAAAACGUUAAAUUAUUAAGUCUGUUCGACU